rnacentral:rRNA from 1 species
GGAGUAACCUUUUAGGAGCUAGCCGUCGAAGGUGGGACAAGUGAUUGGGGUGAAGUCGUAACAAGGUAGCCGUAUCGGAAGGUGCGGCUGGAUCACCUCCUUU